GUGGGGAAUAUUGGGCAAUGGGGGCAACCCUGACCCAGCAACGCCGCGUGAAGGAAGAAGGCUUUCGGGUUGUAAACUUCUUUGACGAGGGACGAUAGUGACGGUACCUCGAAAACAAGCCACGGCUAACUACGUGCCAGCAGCCGCGGUAAUACGUAGGUGGCAAGCGUUGUCCGGAUUUACUGGGUGUAAAGGGCGCGUAGGCGGGAUUGCAAGUCAGAUGUGAAAUCUCCGGGCUCAACCCGGAAAUUGCAUUUGAAACUGUAGUUCUUGAGUAUCGGAGAGGCAAGCGGAAUUCCUAGUGUAGCGGUGAAAUGCGUAGAUAUUAGGAGGAACACCAGUGGCGAAGGCGGCUUGCUGGACGACAACUGACGCUGAGGCGCGAAAGCGUGGGGAGCAAACAGG
rnacentral:rRNA from 1 species